CCUACGGGUGGCAGCAGUGAGGAAUAUUGGUCAAUGGACGAGAGUCUGAACCAGCCAAGUAGCGUGAAGGAUGACUGCUCUAUGGGUUGUAAACUUCUUUUAUAUGGGAAUAAAAUGUUCCACGUGUGGGAUUUUGUAUGUACCAUAUGAAUAAGGAUCGGCUAACUCCGUGUCCGCAGCCGCGGUAAUACGGAGGCUCCGAGCGUUAUCCGGAUUUAUUGGGUUUAAAGGGAGCGUAGAGGGGUUGUUAAGUCAGUUGUGAAAGUUUGUGGCUCAACCGUAAAAUUGCAAGUGAUACUGGCAGUCUUGAGUACAGGUGAGGUAGGCGGAAUUCGGGGUGUAGCGGUGAAAUGCUUAGAUAUCACGAAGAACGCCGAUUGCGAAGGCAGCUUACUAAACUGCCACUGACAGUGAGGCUCGAAAGUGUGGGGAUCAAACAGGAUUAGAUACCCCAGUAGUC
rnacentral:rRNA from 1 species